AAGGUCGUAACAAGGUUUCCGUAGGUGAACCUGCGGAAGGAUCAUUAAUGAGAUCAAGGCCCUUCGGGGUAGACCUCCCAACCCUUUGUUUAUAAUACCUUUGUUGCUUUGGCGGCCCCGUCGCAAGACAACCGGCUCCGGCUGGUCAGCGGCCCGCCAGAGGACUCAAAAGCUCAUAUUAUCUUUGGUCGUCUGAGUACUAUAUAAUAGUUGAAAG
rnacentral:misc_RNA from 1 species